rnacentral:tRNA from 14 species
GAAGGUUACCGGUAACGGUUGCUGGAGCGUAUGGAAGUGAAUAUGCGGGCUUGAGUAACGAUAAUGCAGGUGAGAAUCCUGCACGCCGUAAGUCUAAGGUUUCCUGGGGAAGGUAAAUCCGCCCAGGGUUAGCCGGGUCCUAAGGCGAGGCCGAAAGGCGUAGUCGAUGGAUAGCAGGUUAAUAUUCCUGCGCACAUACAAAGAUCAAAGCAUAGUGCGGAUCUGUGAGCUCACCAGGACUGUUAGAUGUCCAGGCCCUCGGGCCGUUGAUGGGGGAUCGGGUUCCUAGAAAAGCUAUGUGGGCGAUGUAUGUCCCGUACUAAAACUGACACAGGUAGACGAGGCGAAUAGCCUCAGGCGCUCGAGAGAAUGGUCGUGAAGGAAUUAGGCAAAUUAACUCCGUAAGUUCGCGAUAAGGAGGCCCUUCGGGGCGCAGAGAAAAGGCCCUGGCAACUGUUUAUCAAAAACACAGCACUGUGCUAACUCGCAAGAGGAUGUAUACAGUGUGACGCUUGCCCAAUGCCCGAAUGUCACGGAAGCUGGUUAGCAUUAUGCGAAGCUAGUAACCUAAGCACGGGUCAAUGGCGGCCGUAACUAUGACGGUCCUAAGGUAGCGAAGUUCCUUGUCGGGUAAGUUCCGACGCGCAUGAAUAGCGUAAUGACUGGGGCACUGUCUCCACGACCAACUCGGUGAAAUAGUAGUGGCGGUGUAGAUGCCGCCUACCCGCAGCAAGACGGAAAGACCCCGUGAACCUUUACUGCAGGCUUAUAUUGGUCAUGUGCACAUGAUGCGCAGGAUAGGUGGGAGGCUUUGAAGCCGGUGCUUAGGCACUGGUGGAGCCGUUGGUGAGAUACCACCCUUCGUGAGUGUGUGGCCUAACUUCGAUUCCCGUGAAUCCGGGCGAAGGACAGUGUGUGCUGGGUAGUUUGACUGGGGCGGUCUCCUCCCAAAGAGUAACGGAGGAGCGCAAAGUUUGGCUCAGCACGGAUGGAAACCGUGUGUUAGAGUGUAAGAGCAUAAGCCAGAUUUACUGCGAGUCCGACAGGACGAGCAGUCUCGAAAGAGGGCUCUAGUGAUCCUGCGAUCGCGUGUGGAAGCGUCGUAGCUCAUCGGAUAAAAGGUACUCCGGGGAUAACAGGCUGAUCUCCCCCAAGAGCUCACAUCGACGGGG